rnacentral:siRNA from 1 species
GAUGAUGUGUCACUCAUAUGA